rnacentral:rRNA from 1 species
UACGUAGGGUGCGAGCGUUAAUCGGAAUUACUGGGCGUAAAGCGUGCGCAGGCGGUUUGUUAAGUCCGCUGUGAAAGCCCCGGGCUCAACCUGGGAAUGGCGUUUGGGACUGGGAGUCUGGAGUGCGGCAGAGGAGACUGGAAUUCCUGGUGUAGCAGUGAAAUGCGUAGAUAUCAGGAGGAACACCGAUGGCGAAGGCAGGUCUCUGGGCUGACACUGACGCUCAUGCACGAAAGCGUGGGGAGCAAACGAGG